CGACAAACGUGGAUACGCGUUUUGUGGCAUCCUACUAAUAACACUGAAAAUAACUUAAAUUAGACUUUCAGUUUUGAUUGUACAGAUAAGAGCAAUACAUUAAUCGAAUCUGUAAAGGGUCUACUUUUAUUUGUAUACUUAAAUAAUAACAACAAAACUUUGUACAUUUACAAAAUAAAGAAAACAAACAGGUGGCACUGUCUGUGGACUUGGUCUGCAGUGAUCUUUAUUUAGAAACGUGCCAUUAAAAUGAACUGUAACUCAGCAAAUACUCAACACAGAGACAUGACAGAUAUAUCUAAAGAAAGCAAGACAUCUACUUUUAAAAUAAGCAAGUCUUAUCGAAAACAAAUGAUAAAAUAAUCCAUAUGAAAACAAUGCGAUGUCCAGUCUUUCACGUCUCCCUUCAUUAUAUCUAAUGUGACCACGCCCAUGCACUGAGCGCACUAUUGAUAUUACAAUUGUCCAUGUGAAGCAUGCAGAGUGUAAACGCCCAUACAGCAAACAAAGCAGCGAGACUGUUCUUCAAGUUUUUUAAAUGUUACUGUUCGCUUCGGGCUGAGAGGAAUAAGACAUAUUUCAGCUCAAGAAGACGCGCUGAGAGGAAUAAGCUUUGGAUUACCUCAGAAAAAAUAAUGAAGUGGCUUGAUCCAGCAGAAAUCAUAAACAUGGAUGUGAGGAUAACAGUGCAAAAGGACCUGUUGCAAAGCAAGCCAAUGUAAAUAAGCAGCCCACUCAGGAACCUGGAACACAAAUUUUUUGAAGAGAGUGUGUGCCUCGCUUGGUCUUAGCUGUAUGUCCUUCAGAGCACAAAAACAACAUACACUUUGGAAAUGCCAGGUAUGUGAUGUUCAUUUAUAUAUUUAAACAUGACACAAUACCAGUCAAAAGCUUUUGAACAGUAAGAUUUUUAAUGUUUUUGUAAAGAAUUAUCUUCUGCUCACCAAGCCUGCAUUUAUUUGAUCAAAAAUACACAAAGUUGCAUUUGCUAUUUGCUAUUUAUUGCGAUUUAAAAUAACUGCUUUCUAUUUGAAUAUAUUUUAAAAUUUAUUUUAUUCUUGUGAUCAAAGGAAUCAAAAUUUUCAGCAUCAUUACUCCAGUCUUACGCCAAGUGUAACAAUAUACACUAUACCAUUCAAAAGCUUGGAGUCAGUAUAUAUAGAAAUUAAAACUUUUAUUUAGCACAUAAGUGAUGAUAUAGACAUUUAUCAUGUUACAAAUGAUGCUGUUCUUUCAAUUCAUCAAAAAUGAUAUAUAUAUAUAUAUAUAUAUAUAUAUAUAUAUUUAUUUUUUUGAGUAGCAAAUCAGAAUAUUAGAAUGAUUUCUGAAGGAUUGUGUGACUGGAGUAAUGAUGCUAAAAAUUCAGCUUUGAAAGUCAGCUUUGAUUGUUCCUAAUAAACUGUUAUUUUGUGGGAUAAUGCACUGCCAUCUUGUAGAUGCAAUAAUAAACAAGACUUGAUUAUAGCUUAAAGAUGCCUGCUGAGCAUUGAGCAGAAUCUUACUUAGAAUUUGAAUGGGAGAAUGACCAUGUAUACGUCAGCUUGAUAGAGACUGCGUUCAUAACAGCACCAGUCCAAAAGAGUGACCCGUUUAAAGAUAAGGUGAGAGCCACGGUUCUCUGCAUCUGCAGGCAUGGAAUCUAAAUGAUUGGAGGCCAAAUGGAAUGGCUAAAUGGAAUGGAAUGUCAAGGUUAACAAAAUGAUCUAAUGUAGUAGUUAAGUUUUAAGCAGAAAGCCUAAAAAUGCAUAACCAUAAUUAUUGGAACUGUAAUAAACAGAACUUUUUUCUGGCUUAACUCCC
ensembl:lncRNA